AUUGAACGCUGGCGGCAUGCCUAACACAUGCAAGUCGAACGAGUGGCGGACGGGUGAGUAAUGUCUGGGAAACUGCCCGAUGGAGGGGGAUAAAUACUGGAAAAGGUAGCUAAUACCGCAUACCAUCGGAUGUGCCCAGAUGGGAGUAGCUGGUUGGUGAGGUAACGGAUCACCUAGGCGACGAUCCCGAGCAGGUCUGACAGGCUGGCCAGACACACUGGAACUGAGACACGGUCCAGACUCCUACGGGAGGCAGCAGUGGGGAAUAUUGCACAAUGGGCGCAAGCCUGAUGCAGCCAUGCCGCGUGUGUGAAGAAGGUCUUCGGGUUGUAAAGUACUUUUAGCGAGGAGGCGUUACUCGCAGAAGAAGCACCGGCUAACUACGUGCCAGCCGCCGCGGUAAUAC
rnacentral:rRNA from 1 species